GAAUAAGAUAUUUUCAAACAGCUGUUCGGUUUAGUGAGUUUCCUUUAAUAAAAUUAACAACAUGGACUGUUUUUCUAUUUCUUUUUGAGAUUUGGUAUGUUAUCUUUGGCUGCCUAUGCCAAGACAUAUAAAAAACAUUAUGGCGGACCAUGUGGGGCCCAGGGAAAGAGAAGCCAGUCCGCUGUUCCCAUGAGUCAGCAGAGGCCAUGCUGGGUCUGGAAGGAGCAUGUCAAGAAGUGUGGUCUUCCCGUGAGCUGCACAAACCAGGCGGGGCCCAGGAAGAGAGAAGGCAGAUUGCUUUUCUCCCAUAAGUCUACUAGCAACAGGGCUGAGAAUCAAGAUCCUCUAACCGCAUGCCAAAGGAAACUGGCUGAUUCAGACAGGAUCGGUUGACAGCAACUGAGGUGGCAAAGAGAGCAGGCAGGGAGCCUGUCCACGUCUGGCUGCUGCUUUUAGGAUAUUAGAACUGCUCCCAGUAUGGUACGUUAACUGAUGAAGGAGGUAAGGGGUGCUGCCAGCUAGUGGUAACCGUGCUUUCCUCUCUCAGCCAUCCUGGUAUUGGGUUCAAUCUAGUGAUUUCUCCUUUAGUUCAAUUUUCCAUGUCUAGGUAUGUUUGCCUCCUCUGUUUCAGAAUACACGACCUGCCUUGUCUGUCAGCUUAUCUGCCAGCUUCCCUCAUCACCACCAUCUCUAGUUGGCCAUGAUAAUAACACCAAUAUUGUACACUUGUUUAAUUUUAUCACUAUUUAGUUCAGUUGUAUGAUACUCCAUGAAUUAUGUUACCACACACUUGACAUAAACGAAAAGUGUUGCUUCUUUUAUAAUAUCAGUGUCCUCAAAUUAGGUCUCCAAAUCUAUACUUGCUUAGAUAUUUUGUACAAUCAUACUGUUUUCACUAAGAGGAAGAGCUUAAUUUUAUGUUGAUUUAUCAUUAAAAAUUACACAUACUAUAUCCUUAAAUAAGGAAAGAAUAGUAUUCUUAGGAACUGUGUGAUUGAUUUUGUCUCUUACCACUCAGUAUAUAACUACAUAUGAGAAUGAUUUUCUUAUUUAUUUAUUUAUUAGUCUUUUUGAGACAGGCUCUUGCGAUGCAGUUUGAGCUGGCCUUGAGCUCACUUUGUAACCCAGGCUUGUCUCAAACUCUCAAUGAUCCUCCUGCCUCAGCCUCCUAAAUGCUGGGAUUACAGGCAUGUGCCAUUGUGCUUGGCUGACUUUCUUAUUUUACAUAUACACUAUAUGCAGCAGGCUUUUUUCUGUGGGCUUCAUAUGUAUUAUCUUCACAGUGCCAUGGACUAAUGAUCAUUAUUCUUAUUUUCUAGAUAAGGAAAUGAACUGGAGAGGAUAAAGUAAUUUGUUCAAAGUCUCAUAGUCUGUAGGAGGAAUUCUGGAAUUUGAACCCAGGCAAUUAACUUCAGAGUUUUGUUUGUGACCAAUAUAUCGGACUAUUUCUCAAAUUAGACAUUGUGUCGAUAUGUUAUGAUUUAUGUUAUGAAUUUUCCCCCUUACUUUAACGCAUUGGAGGAACUCAUCUGAAAAUCCAUAAUUACCAAAAUAAAAUCCAUUAGAUUCUGCCAUUUUCAAAGGAUUUUUCAUAAUAGAUAAAGCUUACAUUUUAAAUAAUCUUCAUUAUAAAAGUUUGGCUUGACUUUAAUUUUUUAUAAUGAUACAUUAAGUUAAAGUUUAUUGAUUAGAGCCAAUAUUUUGCAUAAUAUUGUUGAACUUGCAUACAAGCCUAUGGAAUUUGCACCUCAUUCUUAUUUUUGUCCUCUAAUAAUAUAGUGUCCUCUGUUUCAAUGAAAAGGUUACCACUGUUCAGUGAUUUUAAAAAGACCCACUUGGUGACAUCCUUUCUAGAAAAAGAUCUCACCAAUUUGUAAUGGAAACCCAAUUGAAAGUCUCUGUAAUUUUGCUGACAAGGGAAAUGAAAAUUAUGUUAAUAGAAAAUCAAAGUUCAUCAAAUUAACCUUCCUAUUAUGACAAUGGUCAAAGUGACCAUCAUCACCUGAGAAAUACAAUGAGAUGUCAUUGCACAGAAGAGCAGAUGUCUUGUUCCUAGCCAUCAUGUGCAUUCAUCACAUGCCCAUGCUGUCUCCCUUAUGCGUAUGGGAGCAAUUGGCCACAGCAUUUGCUACAACAUUUCUGUUGCCAAGAUUCCUGCUAUGAACUUAAAUAUUUUUCUGCUUAAUUUAAAAAAUGCUGGCUUGUGACCUCCUUCGCGGACUUUAUGAUACCCCAAGGAUGGAGCCAUUGGAUAUGAUCGCACUGCCCUGAUGCUGAGUUCAGCAGGGACUUGGAAGAAGAACCAGCAUCCAGGGUAAUACUGAAGUUGUCUUUGGAAGAAAAGAAAUGAAAUGAGAGCUGCAAGAUCUGAUGGUCAGGCAGCCAGAUCGUGCUAUGGGUGUGGAGUCUCCAAGUUCUUGGAUAAAUACAUUCUUGCUGUUGGAGUGAUAAGUGGUCAGUUAUUCACAUUCAACUCAUGUUCAAAUUGGUAGAUCUAUCGAAAAAACAACACAGAAGUUGGAUUUGGGUGAGGACAUGAAAUUGACCCUUGACCAACCUGGAUGAACUCAAGGUUAAACUAAGCAUCAUGCCUCUUGUGCACCUGGGAUUGAAGCUCCAUCCAAACUCAAAAGCAGAAGAGCUCAAGAAGAGCUCAGGCCACACACAUCCCUUUCUCGGUUUCUGUCUCUUUGAACAGGCAAAUAGUAUUUAUAAUUGUUGACUCCUGCCAACUUUUCCUUCACUCUCAAAUAUUUAAAUAAUGUGUGUAUGUAUGCAUAGGUUAUAUUUUGCAUACAUUGAGUUAUACUUUAAUUCCUGCAACAUGCUUUUAUUUUCAUCAUGAUGCUAUGUCUUAGGAAAACGUUCAGCCCAUGUUGAUGUCUCAUUAUUUUUAUAGGCCACAUAUAAUUUACAGUAUGGGUGUAUCAUAAAAUUUUACUAUUUUUUACAAAUACAAGAUUCUUGAAUGACAGUUAUUUUCUCUUGUUUUGUUAAAAAUGUCAUUAAACUGACUUCUGGUUUCCAUUAUGGCUGCUGGGUUUCAGCUGUCAGCUGAGUGGAUGGGUGGGAAGUCGUCUGUCUUGUCUCCUUGUUGUUACUACAUUUGCCCUGAUAUAUAAGGGCAUGAAUUUUUUUAAAAUUUAUUCUACCUCAGAAACUGUGUAUCUUGAAUCUAUGGGUUACUGCCUUUCAACAUUAUUAGGAAAUUUCUUGGCUAUUAUCUUUUCAAGUAUUUCCUUUGCCAUCUUUCCUUUCCUUCUAGAAAUCAGAUUAGAUACAUGUUAAAUCUGCAAUCUGUGCCUCUUAUUAAUUUAUUUAUGUUUCCCAUAUGUUGUCUCUUUGCAAUUCUUCAUUGUGUGUAGCUACUUUUUAAAGGAGGGUUCUACCAUUUUACUAACUAUCUCUUGUUGGGUCUAUUGCAUUGAGUCUGUCUGUUGAGCUUCAAAUCUAACUAUAAUAUUUUCAACAUCUAGAAAUUUUUUUUGGUCCUCUGUAAAUCUUCUUGAUUGUUUUUAUAGUUUCUUAUCUAUUGCACAUAUUUUUCAAGUUUAUAGUUUCCUCCUCUGGUUAUAGAGUAAACAUGGCUAUUUUUAUAAUUAAAUUAUUUUGAUAAUUAGUUAUUUUUUUGUUGUUUCAGAGGCUUCUCUCUCUUGGUGGCGGGUUUUCUUGUGUGCUUAGUGAAUUUUUACAUAGAAAAGUUUAUGUUCUUGGUGCGUGUGUUCAUGUGUGUGUGUAUGCACGUGUGUAUGUUUGUGUGUAUACAUGAACUUACUUGAAUAAGAAUGAAGGUGAUGGAUUCAUCUGUGAUUAUUUUUACCUUUGCAAUGCAUCUGAAAACCUUACCGACUCACAACAAUUUCAAGCCAAAUACUUGUUUUGAGUUUAAUAAAUAAACCUAUAUAACUUCAUUCGUUUUUAAUUGACAAAUACCAACUGCAUUUAUUUAACACAUGAAACAUGUUGCCUUGAAAUAUAUACACACUGUGGAACGAUCCAGAGCUUUUUUAGGCCCUUCAUUUGGGCAAUAAAUCUGUGGAGAGGAACAGCUUGUGAGUAUAAUUUGAGGCUUUUUUGGUUUUCUUCUUCUAAAACUGUAACCCUUUGGGGCCCUUUUACGGAAGGAGAACGUUCUGCUUUUGGUUGAUCUUGGCAUUCUUCAAACUACACAAAUGAGACAAAUAAAGGCUGUAGCUCUGGAAGAUGCCCUUAUGGGGUGAGCCAGCUUCUGUGUUCAUCAGUAAUUGUCUAGUUUUAGUAAUUUUUUAAUUGUUCUGUGGCUUCUUUUGCCUUUAAGAUAUGUUUAGUGCUGUUUCUCUGGCAUUUUAGUUGUUGUGAGUGGGCUUCUUGGUCUGGAAACUCAGCCAUCUAUGCUACCCUUCCACAAUUAAUUCAACCAUCUCAUUUCCACUGGAAAUUCAAUUUUUCCUCUAAUUUUUUUUCCUAUUAUAAAUCUGCCACACUGAAUAUAUGUCUUUGCCCACAUGUGAGUAUGCCUCUCAGGUAGAUGACUAUAAUUGGAAGUGCUGGGUGGAAGAGUAGGUGUAUUUUAAUUUAAUUUUGAUGCAGGAAGGCAUUACUAAUUUGUCAUCCCCAGAAUAGUGUAUGAGAAUGUUCUUUUCCACAACCUCUCACCAGCACUAGAUUUUCAUACUUAAGUAUUUAUGCAAAUAUCAUGGAUAAAGACAUAUAGUUGUUUUAACUUAGGGUUCUUGUUCAUUAAUGAGCUUUAUUAUCUUUUAAUUUCUUUAUUUAGCAUUUGUAUUUUUCAUUUUUUUGAAAUGUCUAUUUA